CUAAAUUUGCUGAGUGUUUUUAUCAUGAAAGUGUGUUGGAUUUUGUUAAAUGCCUUUUUGCAUCUAUUGCAGUGAUCAUGUGUUUUUUUACCCCUUUAUUCUGUUAAUACAAAGUAUUACACUGAUUGAUUUUCCUAUGUUGAAAUAACCGCAUUUCUGGGAUAAAUCCCAUUUGGUCAUGCUGUAUAAUCCCUGAGUUACUCUUGAAGUCUCCCCAAACCAUGGGCUCCAGGUUCUUGGACAGGAAAUGUUCCUUAGGGUCACUGAAGCUGUCACUUUUACCCUGUUGUUAAGUAUGGAAAUGGCCUGACUUUACGGCCAUAUUGUGUUCAAAUUAAAAUACCUCCAUCUGAGUUCUUUGAGCACAGUGACUAUGCACUUUCAUCUCUGGGGACCCUAGUACUGAGUGCAGUUUUGCACAUAGUAGGAGUGCAACCAGUGAUUUGGGUUGAAUUACUUCACACAAAUAUGAAUGAGUUUUAAAAUAAACUCUGUCUCUUUGGAGGGUGUCUUUUACCUUCUGAGUUACGGGAGGCUGCGAGCUGAAGCUGUGAAGAAGCAAAUGCACCGCACACACUAGGUCUUCCCUGAGCACCGACGAUGAGAUUCCACCUCGUGAUCGCGCAGCUUGAUUUGAGAACUGAAAAGCAGCAGCUGAAUUUAGAAAUCAGGGGGUUUUCUUUGAGGAUACUUAAUCUGAUGGCUGUUUUAUGGAUAUCUGGUUGUUGGAUGGAAAGUAGCCAUUAUUCUUUUCCCACAUAGUUUUUGUGUGUAUUCUCUCAGCUCUGUGUUUGUGAGAGUGGUGCCAACCUUGACAACUGCUUCCUCCUUCAGAGCCUUGCAUGGUCCAUGGAACUCAGCAGGAGUGGGAUGAAUAUUUGUUGAAUAAAUAAAUGAACUAGAAAUAUUGGUUGAAUGAAGGAAAACUGAAUGAAAGAAGGAAUCACUGCAACAGGCCCCUCCUCAGAGAAUCUGAAUAGUCUACCACAUCUUGUGUGCAGGAUCCCUGAGGCUGACUCGACACCCUGCUUUUCUGAAGGGAUAUGGAAAUAUCCCCAGGACAGCUGUACACUGCUGGCUGAGGAGCCCACAAGGUUAAUGAACACCCACAAAGACUGAGGAGGAGAGCGAGUGUUCUUCACCGGAUGAUUAGCAUGCGGGCAUUCUUUCCUUUGUGGUAAUGAUGGUCAAGAAGGUGCCUGGCGAUAGAGGGGAGAAAGGAGGGUUUCUGCUUCUUCUGCCUCCAACGCUUAUUAAAAUUCAUUUCCAUUCAAAUAGCCAUCGUCUGAUUUUCAUCAUCAAAUAAGCACACACUGUACAUAUUUAACAGGCAGGAGACCUGUGCUGAG
rnacentral:lncRNA from 1 species